AUGAACGCUGGCGGCGUGCCUCAUACAUGCAAGUCGAGCGAACAGACGAGGAGCUUGCUCCUCUGACGUUAGCGGCGGACGGGCGAGUAACACGUGGAUAACCUACCUAUAAGACUGGGAUAACUUCGGGAAACCGGAGCUAAUACCGGAUAAUAUAUUGAACCGCAUGGUUCAAUAGUGAAAGACGGUUUUGCUGUCACUUAUAGAUGGAUCCGCGCCGCAUUAGCUAGUUGGUAAGGUAACGGCUUACCAAGGCAACGAUGCGUAGCCGACCUGAGAGGGUGAUCGGCCACACUGGAACUGAGACACGGUCCAGACUCCUACGGGAGGCAGCAGUAGGGAAUCUUCCGCAAUGGGCGAAAGCCUGACGGAGCAACGCCGCGUGAGUGAUGAAGGUCUUCGGAUCGUAAAACUCUGUUAUUAGGGAAGAACAAAUGUGUAAGUAACUAUGCACGUCUUGACGGUACCUAAUCAGAAAGCCACGGCUAACUACGUG
rnacentral:rRNA from 1 species